GNNNNGAAGUAAAGGUNGUGGCAACGCCGCGUGCGGGAUGACGGCCUUCUGGUUGUAAACCGCUUUCAGCAGGGACGAAGCUUUUUGUGACGGUACCUGCAGAACAAGCACCGGCUAACUACGUGCCAGCAUCCGCGGUGAUACAUAGGGUGCGAGCGUUGUCCGGAUUUAUUGGUCUUAAAGGGCUCGUAGGCGGUUGAUCGCGUCGGAGUGGAAACUUGAUGCUUAACGUUGAGCGUGCUUUCGAUACGGGUUGACUUGAGAAAGGUAGGGGAGAAUGGAAUUCCUGGUGGGCCGGUGGAAUGCGCAGAUAUCAGGAGGAACACCAGUGGCGAAGGCGGUUCUCUGGACCUUUCCUGACGCUGAGGAGCGAAAGCGUGGGGAGCGAACAGGCUUAGAUACCCUGGUAGUCCACGCUGUAAAUAGUGGGUACUAGGUGUGGGGUCCAUUCCACGGAUUCUGUGCCGUAGCUAACGCAUUAAGGCGCCCGCCUGUUGAGUACGGUUUCAAGGCUAAAACUUCCCNCCCUCCGCUC
rnacentral:rRNA from 1 species